UUCAAGCUUAAUGUAGCAGGAUUAGGUGAGCUGUGAUUGACAGCUGAUUUCACCAAUCAGGAAGGGGCAGUCCCUUUUUAAGAGCCGAUUGGCUGCUGCCCGGGAUGCGUCAUGUCCUGUUUUCCCCUGGGUGUUUACAACGUUAGCGGCAGUGUGUCGUCUGUCGUGCUGGUGCCCUUGUGCGGUUAGUGGUGUACGUGAUGGUGUACCCUCAGUUGGCUAUGGGUUUUCCUGCUGUUGGUUAACAUGUGCUGUAAAACAAUAAAUUGUCUGGGGUGAUGCCACUUUUCGGAGUCUCCCUUUCGUUCUACGCUGUGUCUCCCGUUGCGCUGUCUUUUGAUUCUCGCGCUGCAGUGUUGCACCGCUGUCACCGACGUCAUUAUCUGUGCCAUUGCACACUGGACUGUGUACUGUCUGGUUCUGUUGUGAGCCUAGCGUUUACGCUCCACGUGAGACGUUAAUAUCUCAGAGCCGUGGUUCGCUCUCGGUGUGAGAGAAACGAGUCGCUUUCCAUUGGCUCUGCUUUAAUGCAUCAACUUACAUCUCUUUGUUUGUUUUUCCUUAUUUUUUGGGUAUUAUCAUUUGUGUUUGUAAACCUGUUUGUGGGUUAUGAGCAAUGUUGUUGACAUUCUGGACUGCUCAUUAUAGCUGGUUCCCAAGAAACUUACUUGGCCGUAAUUGUGAUCUAAAACCUUGUUAAUUGUAUACAUCUUCUGUACUGCCUUACUAUUUUCCUGUGGUUUGGACUAGUAUAAUUAUUUUUAUUAAUUGUUAUAAAUUUAUUUUCUUUUAUAGUGUGUGUGGUGGUCGUCAGCUUUGUGAAAUAAGGCUGGUCGCCACCAUUUUGUUUUGUGUGACCCAAUUAUUUACUUUGUUUUAAUUUGUUGCAGGAGCUGGGGUCCCACGGGUGGAUGGAUCUGUCCGGUGGUGGUGCUUCCUCCUCAGUGGGUGCUGUGUAACACUUGAAGUGUGUGGUUGUGUAAUCCGAAUGCACAGUGGUGUGUGUGUGUGUGCCUUUUUGUAAACACCAGUCGUGAUUAGUGAUUCUUUCCGUUGGGAACCUCAGCCCUGCUGGUUACUAUAUGUUUGUUUUGUUUUCAUUAACCUUAAUUUUGAGUGUGUGUGAUUGUGAUGCAUUUUGAAGUGGAGUGACUGUAUGUUUUGGAGUGCUCAUCUUAAAGGGGUUACGUGUAAAUAAAAUCUAUUUUUGUACUAUACCCACGUCUCUUGCUCACUCUUCCUUUUAAGAGGAACGAACUUGUGUGCCUUACUGCCUUUUGGGUGUAAGGAAUAUUUCCCUGGGUGUAAGUCCCGGGGUGGCGUAGUCGGAAUAUUAUGCAAAAUCUUUGCCUUCGUCAAUCAAAGUUAGGCAAUCCCCCUCGUCCUGCUACAUU